rnacentral:rRNA from 1 species
AAUACCAGCUCUCCGAGUGGUGUGGACGUUUAUUGGGCCUAAAGCAUCCGUAGCUGGCUGGACAAGUCCCCUGUUAAACCCACCGAUUUAAUCGUUGGCUUGCGGGGGAUACUGCUCGGCUAGGGGACGAGAGAGGCAGACGGUAUUCCCGGGGUAGGGGUGAAAUCCUAUAAUCCCGGGAAGACCACCAGUGGC